rnacentral:rRNA from 1 species
CCUGCGGGAGGCAGCAGCAAGGAAUUUUGGGCAAUGGACGAAAGUCUGACCCAGCGACACCGCGUGAGGGAAUAAGGCCUUCGGGUUGUAAACCUCUUUUCUUGGGGAAGAAUCUCGACGGUACCCAAGGAAUAAGCCUCGGCCAACUACGUGCCAGCAGCCGCGGUAAUACGUAGGAGGCGAACGUUAUUCGGAUUUACUGGGCGUAAAGGGAGCGUAGGCGGUUCCUUAAGUCGGAUGUGAAAUCUUCUGACUCAAUCGGAAGGCGCCAUUUGAUACUGAGGGACUUGAGAGCAGCAGAGGGAAAUGGAAUCUCCAGUGUAGCGGUGAAAUGCGUAGAUAUUGGAGAGAACACCAGUGGCAAAGGCGGUUUCCCAGGCUGCUUCUGACGCUGAGGCUCGAAAGCGUGGGGAGCGAAGCGGAUUAGAUACCCGCGUAGUCCACGCCCUAAACGGUGGACACUAGAUAUGGGAGGUAUCGACCCUUUCUGUGUCGAAGCUAACGCUUUAAGUGUCCCGCCUGGGGAGUACGGCCGCAAGGCUGAAACUUAAAGGAAUUGACGG